AGAUUUUGCUAAUUUGAAAACUCUCAACAAUCUGAAUGAUCGGAGAACGGAUAAUCCAUCCACAUUUGAAAGAAAAAGUUCUGCCAAACUAAGGGUGACAAUAAA